GCGCUGAGCUCACACACACCUGACUAGAGGACCAUGCUGUCACACUGUUUGCUGGUGCUGCUGCUGCUGAGGAGUAUUUCAGCACAGACUGUGAUUGAGCAGAGCCCACGCUACAUUGCCAAGUUACCAGAAGAGAAAGCCGAGAUGAGCUGUACUCUCAGUGGGACCUCCAACCCAGAUCUCUACUGGUACAGACAGCAUGGCAGUGGAGAGAUGGAGUUCCUCUUUUUCUCCAGGGGCAAGGGGAUGUUUGAUGACUCUCCGGUGAAAGACUUUAUACCAGAGAGAAAAGAAGACCUUUUCCUCAGCCUGCGCACAGACAGCCUGAGAGUGAACCACACUGCAGUGUAUUACUGUGCCUGGAGUAGACACAGUGACUGAGGCACACAGGGCCCCCGAACAAAAACCUCACAGGAGCAUACAGCUGGCUCCUGAAGCUGGGCACGAUGAUGCUGUCUAAGUUACUCUCCAUUGAAGAAUAAGGGGGUGGGGUUCCUAAAAAUCCAGUGGGAGUUUUCGUUGUACAUUGCAAUAUCUGUUCAAAUACCAUUACUGAUUUUUUUUCAUUGUUCGGCAAUGACUGCUGUGUUUAUCCUGACUGCAGUGUCCGGGACACCCCUAUGCUUUG